rnacentral:rRNA from 1 species
GACGGAGGGUGCUAGCGUUGCUCGGAAUCACUGGGCGUAAAGCGCACGUAGGCGGCUUUUUAAGUCAGGGGUGAAAUCCUGGAGCUCAACUCCAGAACUGCCUUUGAUACUGGGAAGCUUGAGUCCGGAAGAGGUGAGUGGAACUCCGAGUGUAGAGGUGAAAUUCGUAGAUAUUCGGAAGAACACCAGUGGCGAAGGCGGCUCACUGGUCCGGUACUGACGCUGAGGUGCGAAAGCGUGGGGAGCAAACAGG